GACAGUGUGGUGUAGUGGUUUGACUGUUGGACUUAGACUCUGGAGAACAGGAUUCAAAUCCCUGUUCAGCCA